ACAAUAUAUAUUUUUCUUUUCUAUUUUAUUGUUAUUUUUCUUAGUAAUGUUGAAUUUUCUUUUUUCUAGUGUCAGAGAACCGAAAAGGUAGGAAAUCCCCCUCCGCACUUGAGGAAGAUAUGAAGUUUGAAGAAAAAAUCAGGGGAUAUUAUAAGGGUUAUAAGAAAUAAAGAUUCCUACCAAAUUUUCCAUAUAAUAAAAUUGUGUCAUAGUUUACAAAGUAUAUCAAUUUAUUUUUUUCAACUUUUAUGACUUUAUAGAUGUUUAGAAAUUGUAUAAGUUAAUGACUGCCUUGGUUAUAAACUACAGUAGUUUAUCUGAAUGCAAUUGUUACCUUGUACUUUAAAUUUUUAUAUAUAUUCAUUAAAGGAUUUUACUGUUGAAUAAAAGAUUGGAAAUAUUUUUA